CGACUACAUGAAGAAGUUGUUGGAGAGGAUUUGCCGACUGUAGGUUCCGAGCCAGACACGUCGCUGGCAUAGUCAGCGGUGAUGGGGCGGUCAGCGGAGGCCGUGUGCUUUACAGGUCUUGUGGUCUCUUUACCUGAUUAGGAUCCUAAUGAAGUUCGUUGGUGGCUGCAGUAAAAUUGUGGUUGGGCGCUGUUGAUUUUGUGGUGGUAGGCUGUUUUUUGAUUCGGUCCACUGUGCCGGACAGGUGACGGCCGGUGUGGUUGUUAUUCUACAGGCCAAGCUGAAUAUACACCCCCUUGGAUAGAAAAAAGUUCAUCAUAAUCACUACGUCAUCUGCUAAUUCACUUCAUGGGAUCACCACUUCUAUCAAGUGGAAUCUACCGUGCCAUCGCUUCAGAUGCAGGCAGCAUAUAUUACUACCAAACCUUGAAAAGCCAUUGGAAACAACCCUGCAACCUUCUCCGACAGUA